rnacentral:pre_miRNA from 1 species
AGUUGAGUUGCUGGGUCACAUGGUAAUUUUAUGUUUAACUUUUGGAGGAAUUGCCAAACUGUUUUCCAAAGUGAUGUCACCAUUUUACGUUUCCACUGGCAGC